AGAGUUUGAUCCUGGCUCAGGAUGAACGCUGGCGGCGUGCUUAACACAUGCAAGUCGAGCGAUGAAGUUUCCUUCGGGAAACGGAUUAGCGGCGGACGGGUGAGUAACACGUGGGUAACCUGCCUCAUAGAGUGGGAUAGCCUUCCGAAAGGAAGAUUAAUACCGCAUAAUGUUGAAAGAUGGCAUCAUCAUUUAACCAAAGGAGCAAUCCGCUAUGAGAUGGACCCGCGGCGCAUUAGCUAGUUGGUGGGGUAACGGCCUACCAAGGCGACGAUGCGUAGCCGACCUGAGAGGGUGAUCGGCCACAUUGGGACUGAGACACGGCCCAGACUCCUACGGGAGGCAGCAGUGGGGAAUAUUGCACAAUGGGGGAAACCCUGAUGCAGCAACGCCGCGUGAGUGAUGAAGGUUUUCGGAUCGUAAAGCUCUGUCUUUGGGGAAGAUAAUGACGGUACCCAAGGAGGAAGCCACGGCUAACUACGUGCCAGCAGCCGCGGUAAUACGUAGGUGGCGAGCGUUAUCCGGAUUUACUGGGCGUAAAGGGAGCGUAGGCGGAUGAUUAAGUGGGAUGUGAAAUACCCGGGCUCAACUUGGGUGCUGCAUUCCAAACUGGUUAUCUAGAGUGCAGGAGAGGAGAGUGGAAUUCCUAGUGUAGCGGUGAAAUGCGUAGAGAUUAGGAAGAACACCAGUGGCGAAGGCGACUCUCUGGACUGUAACUGACGCUGAGGCUCGAAAGCGUGGGGAGCAAACAGGAUUAGAUACCCUGGUAGUCCACGCCGUAAACGAUGGAAUACUAGGUGUGGGGGGUUUCAACACCUCCGUGCCGCCGCUAACGCAUUAAGUAUUCCGCCUGGGGAGUACGGUCGCAAGAUUAAAACUCAAAGGAAUUGACGGGGACCCGCACAAGUAGCGGAGCAUGUGGUUUAAUUCGAAGCAACGCGAAGAACCUUACCUACACUUGACAUCCCUUGCAUUACUCUUAAUCGAGGAAAUCCCUUCGGGGACAAGGUGACAGGUGGUGCAUGGUUGUCGUCAGCUCGUGUCGUGAGAUGUUGGGUUAAGUCCCGCAACGAGCGCAACCCUUGUCGUUAGUUACUACCAUUAAGUUGAGGACUCUAGCGAGACUGCCUGGGUUAACCAGGAGGAAGGUGGGGAUGACGUCAAAUCAUCAUGCCCCUUAUGUGUAGGGCUACACACGUGCUACAAUGGCUGGUACAGAGAGAUGCAAUACCGCGAGGUGGAGCCAAACUUAAAAACCAGUCUCAGUUCGGAUUGUAGGCUGAAACUCGCCUACAUGAAGCUGGAGUUACUAGUAAUCGCGAAUCAGAAUGUCGCGGUGAAUACGUUCCCGGGUCUUGCACACACCGCCCGUCA
rnacentral:rRNA from 1 species